UACGGAGGGGAGAGCGUUAUCCGGAAUUAUUGGGCGUAAAGAGUGCGUAGGUGGUCUUGUAAGCGUGGGGUGAAAGGCAGUGGCUUAACCAUUGUUAGCCUUGCGAACUGUGAGACUUGAGUGCAGGAGAGGAAAGUGGAAUUCCUAGUGUAGCGGUGAAAUGCGUAGAUAUUAGGAGGAACAUCAGUGGCGAAGGCGACUUUCUGGACUGUAACUGACACUGAGGCACGAAAGCGUGGGGAGCAAACAGGAUUAGAUACCCGCGUA
rnacentral:rRNA from 1 species